UGGGGAAUUUUGGACAAUGGGGGAAACCCUGAUCCAGCCAUCCCGCGUGUGCGAUGAAGGCCUUCGGGUUGUAAAGCACUUUUGGCAGGAAAGAAACGUCGCGGGUUAAUACCCCGCGAAACUGACGGUACCUGCAGAAUAAGCACCGGCUAACUACGUGCCAGCAGCCGCGGUAAUACGUAGGGUGCAAGCGUUAAUCGGAAUUACUGGGCGUAAAGCGUGCGCAGGCGGUUCGGGAAAGAAAGAUGUGAAAUCCCAGAGCUUAACUUUGGAACUGCAUUUUUAACUACCGGGCUAGAGUGUGUCAGAGGGAGGUGGAAUUCCGCGUGUAGCAGUGAAAUGCGUAGAUAUGCGGAGGAACACCGAUGGCGAAGGCAGCCUCCUGGGAUAACACUGACGCUCAUGCACGAAAGCGUGGGGAGCAAACAGGAUUAGAUACCCUGGUAGUCCACGCCCUAAACGAUGUCAACUAGCUGUUGGGGCCUUCGGGCCUUGGUAGCGCAGCUAACGCGUGAAGUUGACCGCCUGGGGAGUACGGUCGCAAGAUU
rnacentral:rRNA from 1 species